rnacentral:rRNA from 1 species
UACAGAGGUCUCAAGCGUUGUUCGGAUUCAUUGGGCGUAAAGCGCACGUAGGCGGCGCAGCAAGUCAGGGGUGAAAUCCCGGGGCUCAACCCCGGAACUGCCUCUGAAACUGCAGUGCUAGAAUCUUGGAGAGGCGAGUGGAAUUCCUGGUGUAGCGGUGGAAUGCGCAGAUAUCAGGAGGAACACCGAUAGCGAAGGCAGCUCGCUGGGACGGUACUGACGCUGAGGCGCGAAAGCGUGGGGAGCAAACAGG